GCUGGCCACUCCAACUGAAGUUGCAAACUUGAUCUGCUUUGCACUUGCCAUUUCUGUCAUUGUUUGGAGUGCCUGCUGGAAAAAACCCAUGAUCCAGCAAGCUUUUAGGUAAAAGACACCGCAUUUCAGCUUUCUGUGCUUCCAGAAGCUGCAUUUUGGAGUCUAAAAAGGGAUCAUUCUGAAUUGCCUCUACAGGAUAAUGAACCAUGAGAUAGUCAUCUGGAUUAUUAUCAAUGACAAAUCCGUACAGGUACAGUAACUCCUCAUUGCCUUUGUUCCCAUAACUAAUGGAAAUCUCUUUCGCACUUUGGAGGGGAGUUUGUCCAGCAGAAAGAAGGUACAUGGUGAAAGAAACUCCUGUUACCAAGCCAGUUCCAUCAACCUCCCAUGUUGCUGCCGCCUUUGUAUCAUGGUUGCAAAAAUCAAUGCCAGGAACAAGACCCUCUACCCAGAUAGUAUCCUUUUGAACUGAUGUGGAAAUUGCCUCAUUCACUUUGCUGUCAUCUCCAUGAAACUUAGAUCCUUUUUCAUCCUUUUCAUCGAUUAAGUCUCUGCCAGAAUUAUAUGAGAUCUGAGAGUUGUUAAUUGGAG
rnacentral:misc_RNA from 1 species